CCUGCCCCACUAACAGUUAGGGUAGAGGAACCAUCUGCAUAUAGAGUCCAAACAUUCUGAUUUUGUUGAAGAACUGCAACUACUCGAUCGGUCGAUUCAGCUUCCGAGAACUCGGCAUCUGCUUCGGUGAACGAACAUUCUACCAUGAAAUCGGCCAAAGCUUGACCGUUGAUAGCGGUUCGGGGAUGGUAUUCGAUGAAAAAUUGGGACAAUUCCAUAGUCCAUGCCGCUAGUCUCCCUGAAACUUCUGGCUUGCCCAUCACUUUCUUCAAUGGCUGAUCCGUGUAGACGACCAGG
rnacentral:lncRNA from 1 species